GUACGCACUCCUACGGGAGGCAGCAGUGGGGAAUAUUGCACAAUGGGCGCAAGCCUGAUGCAGCCAUGCCGCGUGUAUGAAGAAGGCCUUCGGGUUGUAAAGUACUUUCAGCAGUGAGGAAGGUGGGUAUGUUAAUAGCAUACUCAUUUGACGUUAGCUGCAGAAGAAGCACCGGCUAACUCCGUGCCAGCAGCCGCGGUAAUACGGAGGGUGCGAGCGUUAAUCGGAAUUACUGGGCGUAAAGCGCAUGCAGGUGGUUUGUUAAGUCAGAUGUGAAAGCCCGGGGCUCAACCUCGGAAUUGCAUUUGAAACUGGCAAACUAGAGUACUGUAGAGGGGGUAGAAUUUCAGGUGUAGCGGUGAAAUGCGUAGAGAUCUGAAGGAAUACCGGUGGCGAAGGCGGCCCCCUGGACAGAUACUGACACUCAGAUGCGAAAGCGUGGGGAGCAAACAGGAUUAGAUACCCUGGUAG
rnacentral:rRNA from 1 species